rnacentral:tRNA from 1 species
AUUACUUUGGCAGAAUAGUGCAAUGAAUUUAGAAUUCAUUUAUGUUUUAAAAACAUGUAAUA